rnacentral:misc_RNA from 1 species
UUUCCGUAGGUGAACCUGCGGAAGGAUCAUUACCGAGUGCGGGUUCCAACGAGCCCAACCUCCCACCCGUGUUUACCAUGACCGCGUUGCCUCGGCGGGCCCACUGGGGCCUGGCCCCGGUCGCCGGGGGGCUUCUGCCCCCGGGUCCGCGCCCGCCGAAGCGCCCUGGAACCCUGUCUGAAUAGUGAGUCUGAGUCGAUGAUUAAAUCAUUAAAACUUUCAACAACGGAUCUCUUGGUUCCG